AGCAGCCGCGGUAAUUCCAGCUCCAAUAGCGUAUAUUAAAGUUGUUGCAGUUAAAAAGCUCGUAGUUGAAUUUCGGGAUCAGUAGGUCGGUCGUGCCACUGGUAUGAACUGGUCUCACUGGUUCCUCCCUCUUGACGAACUGCAAUGCUAUUAAUUUAGUGUAGUAGGAAAUCAGGACUGUUACUUUGAAAAAAUUAGAGUGUUUAAAGCAGGCUUUGGCUUGAAUACAUUAGCAUGGAAUAAUGAAAUAGGACGUUCGAUCCUAUUUUGUUGGCUUCUAGGAUUGACGUAAUGAUUAAUAGGGACAGUUGGGGGCAUUAGUAUUCAAUUGUCAGAGGUGAAAUUCUUGGAUUUAUUGAAGACUAACUACUGCGAAAGCAUUUGCCAAGGAUGUUUUCAUUAAUCAAGAACGAAAGUUAGGGGAUCGAAGACGAUCAGAUACCGUCGUAGUCUUAACCAUAAACUAUAGCCGACUAGGGAUCGGAUGAUGUUAAUUUUUAAUGACUCAUUC
rnacentral:rRNA from 1 species